GACGAACGCUGGCGGCGCGCCUAACACAUGCAAGUCGAACGAGCGAGAGAGAGCUUGCUUUCUCGAGCGAGUGGCGAACGGGUGAGUAACGCGUGAGGAACCUGCCUCAAAGAGGGGGACAACAGUUGGAAACGACUGCUAAUACCGCAUAAGCCCACGACCCGGCAUCGGGUUGAGGGAAAAGGAGCAAUCCGCUUUGAGAUGGCCUCGCGUCCGAUUAGGUAGUUGGUGAGAUAACAGCCCACCAAGCCGACGAUCGGUAGCCGGACUGAGAGGUUGAUCGGCCACAUUGGGACUGAGACACGGCCCAG
rnacentral:rRNA from 1 species